rnacentral:rRNA from 2 species
UAGGGAAUCUUCCACAAUGGACGAAAGUCUGAUGGAGCAACGCCGCGUGAACGAUGAAGGCCUUCGGGUCGUAAAGUUCUGUUGUAAGGGAAGAACAAGUGCCGCAGGCAAUGGCGGCACCUUGACGGUACCUUGCGAGAAAGCCACGGCUAACUACGUGCCAGCAGCCGCGGUAAUACGUAGGUGGCAAGCGUUGUCCGGAAUUAUUGGGCGUAAAGCGCGCGCAGGCGGCCUCUUAAGUCUGAUGUGAAAGCCCCCGGCUCAACCGGGGAGGGCCAUUGGAAACUGGGAGGCUUGAGUAUAGGAGAGAAGAGUGGAAUUCCACGUGUAGCGGUGAAAUGCGUAGAGAUGUGGAGGAACACCAGUGGCGAAGGCGACUCUUUGGCCUAUAACUGACGCUGAGGCGCGAAAGCGUGGGGAGCAAACAGGAUUAGAUACCCUGGUAGUCCACGCCGUAAACGAUGAGUGCUAGGUGUUGGAGGGUUUCCGCCCUUCAGUGCUGAAGCUAACGCAUUAAGCACUCCGCCUGGGGAGUACGGUCGCAAGGCUG